UACGUAGGGUGCAAGCGUUAAUCGGAAUUACUGGGCGUAAAGCGUGCGCAGGCGGUUGUGCAAGACAGAUGUGAAAUCCCCGGGCUCAACCUGGGAACUGCAUUUGUGACUGCAAGGCUGGAGUGCGGCAGAGGGGGAUGGAAUUCCGCGUGUAGCAGUGAAAUGCGUAGAUAUGCGGAGGAACACCGAUGGCGAAGGCAAUCCCCUGGGCCUGCACUGACGCUCAUGCACGAAAGCGUGGGGAGCAAACAGG
rnacentral:rRNA from 1 species